AAUGUUAGAAGUUGUGAUCACUUAUUUACAGAAAAGCGUUAGCGAGCAGUUAUUUUUAUUAUCGAAAAAUUUACAAUACUGACAUGUCAGAAUCCCAUAUUUCUCAAAUAUUGCAUAUAUUUGAUAAAUUUUUUGAAUUAUUGGAAAACUCGUAUAUAAGUACACAAGUUACAAAAGAGACUGUAAAUAAAACUUUCGAAUGUGCUAAGUUUAUUGAGGCUACAGUAACAAAAGCAUAUAGUGAAAAGAUGGAAGACAUAUUGGAAAAUUAUUUUCGCCAGCAUUGCCUUAAAGAAAAAAAAACUAAAAUAUAUAAAUGCAGUGACUUGAAGUUUGCUUGUGAUAAAUUAUUAGAAAUAUAUAUGAAAGAUACUUCCAUCUCUACUACAAUUGUUGAUGACUUUCUGAAACUGUAUAUUCAAUCUUUUGGGAUAGAUAGAUUGAACAACUUUUUGCUGUGUACAUUGAGAAAUUCUACAUGUACAAAUAUGAUAUUAGAAUCUUUGGAAGAUAUAGGCUUAUCCAUAUCUAAAAUGGAAGAUGAAGCUUUGAUUAUGUCAUGGGAAUUUGAUCUUGAAAAUGGUCAGCAGAUAGAAGUAUCACAAAAAAUAACAAAAAUAUUAGAAGAUGGUCAUUUUUCCAGAUUUAUUAGCCUUGUUAUGAAUUUACAUAACAAGAGCAAAUUGAAGAUGUUAUUUAUGAAGUGUUUGUCACGUAAAGUCGUUGAAAAUGAUGUAUUAUUUUGUUUGACUUUAAUAAAUAUCGAAGAGAAAUUUUUUUUAAAGCUUCUGAAGGAUAGUCCUGAAUUUUGUAUCAAUUUUGUAGAUGCAAUAUUUUAUUUUGGACGAAAUAUGUCCAAAAUAAAUAAUGAAUGGAUAUUAGAUUCAACAUUCAAUUAUAAUCAUUUACUUAAAAUUAUGCACAGGUUAUUAAAUGGUCCUAAUGUAGUUCAUGAUAUAGUACAUAACAGACUACAGUUGGCUAAGAUGCAACCAGAUUGUACAAUAUGGCAUAGCAUUGAGAAAGAUAUCGCACAAUAGUGAUUUCUGUAUAAUAUGUACAAUAGUAAACAUUUAUUUGCAACAAAUUUCAUCUUUGGAUUUUAUAAUAUAUUCUCGUAUAUUUAUAUUUGUUUAUACUUGUACAUUAUUAAUAAAAUGUACACAAAAAAAACUGAGUGUACCAGAAACUACACCAUUUACUGCUGUAUUGAAAUUUGCUGCUGAAGAAUUUAAAGUAGCAGCAGCAACAUCAGCUAUUAUAACUGAUGAUGGAAUUGGUAUUAAUCCACAGCAAACUGCAG